rnacentral:snoRNA from 1 species
ACUUCGUGAUUUGGGCAUUGAGAUAGCUUUCCAUUAAAACUCUCCCAAGCUUCAAACAAUGUCUCUCCAUUCAUUUGUCAAAAAUUCACAAUUUUGUCCCGCUUUU